rnacentral:rRNA from 1 species
AUUAUUUCGCAAUGGGGGUAAGCCUGACGCAGCAACUCCGAGUGAUUGAAGUAGGCGUUCGGGUCGUAAAACUCUUUCAUAGGGGAAGAAAAAGAUGACGGUACGCUAUGAGGAAGCAUCAGCUAACCAUGUGCCAGCAGCCCCGGUAAUACGCAGGGGGCGAGCGUUGUCCGGAAUUACUGGGCGUAAAGGGUGCGCAGGCGGCCGAUUAAGUCAGAUGUGAACUACCACGGCUCAACUGUGGGGGUGCAUUUGAAACUGGUUGGCUUGAGUGCAGGAGAGGAAAGUGGAAUUCCUAGUGUAGCGGUGAAAUGCGUAGAGAUUAGGAGGAACACCAGUGGCGAAGGCGACUUUCUGGACUGUAACUGACGCUGAGGCACGAAAGCGUGGGUAGCGAACA